rnacentral:lncRNA from 1 species
AAAAGUCAACGGGAAACAAACAAAGGGAACCGAGGCAUAAACAGGUAAUUCCAAUCAGGACUCAGUACACCGAGGGUGUAGCCUAAAACACAGCGGCAGCAAACUCAACCCAGUAGCACCAGCUUUCGCUUGUGUGUGAGUUCCUGUCCCUACAGCCAGGAGCCCAAUACAUGCCCCUUCUUGCUCAGUGUUUUAAUGAGACUGCUCAGCACACCAAGUGUGUACAUCUACAUAAUUUGGAAAGUGGCGCUGAGGAGAGAUAAGAGUAUAUAGCCCGUGACACGUGCAGGCCCUGGAGUGGAGCAGCUACUCUCCGUUCAGCAAGUAUUCUUGGCCACGAGACAUGGACCAGUGCUGGAGACUUACCAUGAGAGCACACAGAGUCCUCAUUCUGUGCCAGUUUCCAUUGCAGUCUGGAACGACAGAGAGCAAGCAGAUGAAUAUGUGUUUGACACACAUCUGAAGUCUUUUUUAGGAUUGUAGCUGACCUUGGGCAACCAAAACUUCAAGGAGUGGAAUAAUCGAGAAGGUGAUGGGACUUUCCUGUGUUCAAAAUAGAUUGUGAAGUCUUUGGAGGGUUUUGACUUAAGGAUGCCGCUGCCACAGCUUUAUUUGAAAAAGAAUCAUCCUGUGUUUGCCACUCUAGAGGCAGUGGGACCUGGGAGACUGGAGCCGACUAAACUCUUGUGCAGUAGCCAACUUUAUUCAGAGCAUCAGACAAUUUAUACUCUGACGGUUAAGAAGAGUCGCAUGAAUGAAGUGUACAGCCACCAGCUGCAUGUGGCAAGAACACGGUUUCUUCAUGGAGGAAUAUCAACAAAUAACAAUAGCCGACUGUAAUGAAUAAUCGAAAGUAAACUCACUCCUAUCGUCUACACCUGAGAGGAGCAUGAAGGCACAUCCCAUGAGCAAUUUCAUGCUUGUGAAGACACGGAGACCGCACACCUCUUGUCUUGGUUCCUUCCUUCCUUCCUUCCUUCCUUCCUUCCUUCCUUCCUUCCUUCCUUCCUUCCUUCCUCCCUCCCUCCCUCCCUCCCUCCCUCCCUCCCGGAACUCACUGUACCCAGCAAGUGAAAGCUUUCUCUCUUCUUAGCAGUGACCCUCCCUUUUCUCAGCCGUAGGUAACCCUGGCUCUGCUUUCCGUCUGUCUGUACUUGCCUGUUCUUGAUAAGGAAUUAAAGGAGAGUCGUACAGUAUUUGUUGCUUUGUACCUGACUCAUGUCAUGCAAUACAUUUUCAAGGCC